UUUUAUGAGAGUUUGAUCCUGGCUCAGGACGAACGCUGGCGGCGUGCCUAAUACAUGCAAGUCGAACGCUUCUUUUUCCACCGGAGCUUGCUCCACCGGAAAAAGAGGAGUGGCGAACGGGUGAGUAACACGUGGGUAACCUGCCCAUCAGAAGGGGAUAACACUUGGAAACAGGUGCUAAUACCGUAUAACAAUCGAAACCGCAUGGUUUUGAUUUGAAAGGCGCUUUCGGGUGUCGCUGAUGGAUGGACCCGCGGUGCAUUAGCUAGUUGGUGAGGUAACGGCUCACCAAGGCGACGAUGCAUAGCCGACCUGAGAGGGUGAUCGGCCACAUUGGGACUGAGACACGGCCCAAACUCCUACGGGAGGCAGCAGUAGGGAAUCUUCGGCAAUGGACGAAAGUCUGACCGAGCAACGCCGCGUGAGUGAAGAAGGUUUUCGGAUCGUAAAACUCUGUUGUUAGAGAAGAACAAGGAUGAGAGUAACUGUUCAUCCCUUGACGGUAUCUAACCAGAAAGCCACGGCUAACUACGUGCCAGCAGCCGCGGUAAUACGUAGGUGGCAAGCGUUGUCCGGAUUUAUUGGGCGUAAAGCGAGCGCAGGCGGUUUCUUAAGUCUGAUGUGAAAGCCCCCGGCUCAACCGGGGAGGGUCAUUGGAAACUGGGAGACUUGAGUGCAGAAGAGGAGAGUGGAAUUCCAUGUGUAGCGGUGAAAUGCGUAGAUAUAUGGAGGAACACCAGUGGCGAAGGCGGCUCUCUGGUCUGUAACUGACGCUGAGGCUCGAAAGCGUGGGGAGCAAACAGGAUUAGAUACCCUGGUAGUCCACGCCGUAAACGAUGAGUGCUAAGUGUUGGAGGGUUUCCGCCCUUCAGUGCUGCAGCUAACGCAUUAAGCACUCCGCCUGGGGAGUACGACCGCAAGGUUGAAACUCAAAGGAAUUGACGGGGGCCCGCACAAGCGGUGGAGCAUGUGGUUUAAUUCGAAGCAACGCGAAGAACCUUACCAGGUCUUGACAUCCUUUGACCACUCUAGAGAUAGAGCUUCCCCUUCGGGGGCAAAGUGACAGGUGGUGCAUGGUUGUCGUCAGCUCGUGUCGUGAGAUGUUGGGUUAAGUCCCGCAACGAGCGCAACCCUUAUUGUUAGUUGCCAUCAUUUAGUUGGGCACUCUAGCAAGACUGCCGGUGACAAACCGGAGGAAGGUGGGGAUGACGUCAAAUCAUCAUGCCCCUUAUGACCUGGGCUACACACGUGCUACAAUGGGAAGUACAACGAGUCGCAAAGUCGCGAGGCUAAGCUAAUCUCUUAAAGCUUCUCUCAGUUCGGAUUGUAGGCUGCAACUCGCCUACAUGAAGCCGGAAUCGCUAGUAAUCGCGGAUCAGCACGCCGCGGUGAAUACGUUCCCGGGCCUUGUACACACCGCCCGUCACACCACGAGAGUUUGUAACACCCGAAGUCGGUGAGGUAACCUUUUGGAGCCAGCCGCCUAAGGUGGGAUAGAUGAUUGGGGUGAAGUCGUAACAAGGUAGCCGUAUCGGAAGGUGCGGCUGGAUCACCUCCUUUCUAAGGAA
rnacentral:rRNA from 3 species